rnacentral:lncRNA from 1 species
GUUUUAUUUAAAGUCGAAAGUCAGUAAACCGCAAAAAACAGAAACUGUAAUGAGCUUAAAAAAUCGACUGGAUAACAAAAUAUACACACACAUACAAAAGUCAUGAAAACAACACAAUUUCAAACGUUCAGUACAUGGUAAGAAAAUUCAAAUGACAUAUAAAGGUAAAAAUAGUCUAGGAAACAUACAUGCAAAAUAAAGUAUAUCUUGAAAUAUUGCAUAAGUUACAACAAAUAACAUAGCAGAUAAUAGCAACAUAAAAGCUUUACAAAUCGCGUACACUCAAAUAAAAUGAAAAAAAAAAAAACCAAAAAGCACAAACAUUAAAGCAUAUGGUGCAAUGUGCUGUUAUUGCAUCCCAUUUUUGUAACAGUGUUUUAUUGGGGAAAAUGAUGUUUCCGUGUGGCAAUGGUUGGGCAUCUCAUUCCAGAUUUUUGCAACAUUAUAAAGAAUCAACUAUCUUAAACCAUCCUUUUUAAUUCUGACCCUCAGGAGUCCAGCUGUUCAUGAUUUACUAUUAUAGUUCCGAAUUUUAAUGUCUUUCAAAUCAUGUAUAUUAAUUGUACUUCUUUGUUGAUUAUUCUAAAUGUUUCUGCUGCUAUACUUUUUAGAAU